GCACCCUGGUCUAGUGGAAGGUGUCCCUGCCCAUGGUAGGAGGAUGGAACAAGGUGAGCUUUAAAGUCACUUCCAACCCAAACAAUUCUGUGCUUCUCUGAACCCAAAUGCUUUUUCCCCU